rnacentral:misc_RNA from 1 species
UCAUUCCAGCACUUGGGGUCUCGCAAA